GAUGAACGCUGGCGGCGUGCCUAAUACAUGCAAGUCGAGCGAACGGACGAGAAGCUUGCUUUUCUGAUGUUAGCGGCGGACGGGUGAGUAACACGUGGAUAACCUACCUAUAAGACUGGGAUAACUUCGGGAAACCGGAGCUAAUACCGGAUAAUAUUUUGAACCGCAUGGUUCAAAAGUGAAAGACGGUCUUGCUGUCACUUAUAGAUGGAUCCGGGCUGCAUUAGCUAGUUGGUAAGGUAACGGCUUACCAAGGCAACGAUGCAUAGCCGACCUGAGAGGGGGAUCGGCCACACUGGAACUGGGACACGGUCCAGACUCCUACGGGAGGCAGCAGUAGGGAAUCUUCCGCAAUGGGCGAAAGCCUGACGGAGCAACGCCGCGUGAGUGAUGAAGGUCUUCGGAUCGUAAAACUCUGUUAUUAGGGAAGAACAUAUGUGUAAGUAACUGUGCACGUCUUGACGGUACCUAAUCAGAAAGCCACGGCUAACUACGUG
rnacentral:rRNA from 1 species